rnacentral:lncRNA from 1 species
UAUCAAUAUGACGGCGACUACCCAGCGAAUUAGAGGCAGUGAUACACUCAACUUGGUCAGCAACAAACAAUAUGUCCGGCGAGAUGUGACGUGAUGAACGACGGCAACGAUACACUCGACUUUCUGCAAUUGAUAGGUUGAUGAUCGGAGCGACGUGAUGAACAAGGGGACGUGAUGAACCUGCGAUUUCAAUGUUCUGGAAAUAGAAAACUUGAUCAUACGUGAAUUGUGGAUCCAAUAUCAACAAAAUAUGGAUAUUUGUUGAAAAGAUUAUGAGAGAUAAUGUUGAUAAAUAAAAAAUAUGUUAUGAUUUUGAAUUAAUAAUCAUUUUUUAGUAACUGAUAUGAAAUUA